GCUGGGUGUGGUGGAGGGCACCUGUAAUCCCAGCUACUUGGGAGGCUGAGGCAGGAGAAUCACUUGAACCUAGGAGGUGGAGGUUGCAGUGAGCCAAGAUCGAGCCACUACACUCCAGCCUGGGCAACAGAGUGAGACCCUGUCUCAA
rfam:Homo sapiens chromosome 6, GRCh38 reference primary assembly.